rnacentral:rRNA from 1 species
UAGGCGACCGGCGCACGGGUGAGUAACACGUAUCCAACCUGCCGAUAACUCGGGGAUAGCCUUUCGAAAGAAAGAUUAAUAUCCGAUAGCAUAUUGAGAUCGCAUGAUUUUGAUAUUAAAGAAUUUCGGUUAUCGAUGGGGAUGCGUUCCAUUAGUUUGUUGGCGGGGUAACGGCCCACCAAGACUACGAUGGAUAGGGGUUCUGAGAGGAAGGUCCCCCACAUUGGAACUGAGACACGGUCCAA